GGCAGAGGGAAAAGGGCGAUACCAGCGGCGGUCGGGGAGUGCCGGCCGUGUCCCGGGCCGGGGCUGUGCUCGCCGCCUGCCCGCGAUGGCUCCUGAGGCGACGGACACAGACUGAACGGAGCUGUGAAGGUUCCAGCAGCAGCUGCUGGGAUGUUCUGCAUCCUGACAGGAAAUCCAGGCUGACACUUGGAACAGGAGAAUCCCAGGAGAGAUGUCCUCAGUGCCCUCCUUGAGCUUUUCUGGAGGUCAGGGAUGUGUUACUCCUCAGGGGAUUCCUCCCAGAAGAGCCAAAGGCAAAAAAUUCCUUCAAGGUUUAAAGAAAAAAAAAAAGCUCCCCAACUGCUGGAUAAUUGAAGGGGGAAGGACUGAAAGGAAGAUCCUGAUUUAACACCCAGCUUCCAUCCCAGUGAAAUCACAACCCUGGGAAGAAAAUUAAUCUGAAA